rnacentral:rRNA from 1 species
GGUCGGGUCAGCGACUGGGGUGAAGUCGUAACAAGGUAGCCGUAGGGGAACCUGCGGCUGGAUCACCUCCUUU